GUGGGGAAUCUUGCGCAAUGGGCGAAAGCCUGACGCAGCCAUGCCGCGUGAAUGAUGAAGGUCUUAGGAUUGUAAAAUUCUUUCACCGGGGACGAUAAUGACGGUACCCGGAGAAGAAGCUCCGGCUAACUUCGUGCCAGCAGCCGCGGUAAUACGAAGGGGGCUAGCGUUGCUCGGAAUUACUGGGCGUAAAGGGCGCGUAGGCGGACAGCUUAGUCAGAGGUGAAAGCCCAGGGCUCAACCUUGGAAUUGCCUUUGAUACUGGCUGUCUUGAGUUUGGGAGAGGUGAGUGGAACUCCGAGUGUAGAGGUGAAAUUCGUAGAUAUUCGGAAGAACACCAGUGGCGAAGGCGACUCACUGGCCCAAUACUGACGCUGAGGCGCGAAAGCGUGGGAAGCAAACAGGAUUAGAAACCCCUGUAGUCC
rnacentral:rRNA from 1 species